AAUCUUCCGCAAUGGACGCAAGUCUGACGGAGCACUGCCGCGUGAGUGACGAAAGUUUUCGGAUCGUAAAACUCUGUUGUUAGGGAAGAACACGUACCAGCUAACUACUGGUACCUUGACGGUCCCUCACCAGAACGCCACGGCUAACUACGUGUCAGCAGCCGCGGUAAUACGUAGGUGGCAAGCUUUUUCCGGAAUUAUUGGGCGUAAAGCGCGCGCAGGCGGUCCCUUAAGUCUGAUGUGAAAGCCCACGGCUCAACCGUGGAGGGUCAUGGGAAACUGGGGGACUUGAGUGCAGAAGAGGAAAGUGGAAUUCCAUGUGUAGCGGUGAAAUGCGUAGAGAUGUGGAGGAACACCAGUGGCGAAGGCGACUUUCUGGUCUGUAACUGACGCUCAGGCGCGAAAGCGUGGGGAGCAAAC
rnacentral:rRNA from 1 species